rnacentral:rRNA from 1 species
AUUGAACGCUGGCGGCAUGCUUUACACAUGCAAGUCGAACGGUAACAGGUUAAGCUGACGAGUGGCGAACGGGUGAGUAAUGCAUCGGAACGUGCCCGAUCGUGGGGGAUAACGCAGCGAAAGCUGCGCUAAUACCGCAUACGAUCUGAGGAUGAAAGCGGGGGACCGUAAGGCCUCGCGCGAUCGGAGCGGCCGAUGUCAGAUUAGGUAGUUGGUGGGGUAAAGGCCCACCAAGCCGACGAUCUGUAGCUGGUCUGAGAGGACGACCAGCCACACUGGGACUGAGACACGGCCCAGACUCCUACGGGAGGCAGCAGUGGGGAAUAUUGCACAAUGGGCGCAAGCCUGAUGCAGCGACGCCGCGUGAGGGAUGACGGCCUUCGGGUUGUAGACUGCUUUUGUACGGAACGAAACGGCUCUGGUUAAUACCCGGGGCUAAUGACGGUACCGUAAGAAUAAGCACCGGCUAACUACGUGCCAGCAGCCGCCGUAACAC